CACCUCUAUAAUUCUCAUCUUCGGGAUCGUCAUAGAAAAAUAAUCGAUGUGGUGGAAAUUCUUCUUCAUAAUGAAGAAGAUUGUAAACAUCAUCGCAAACAACUACAAAUGAAUGUUUUCUUGCUAUUAUAAGCCGAAUAUUACCCAUCUGUGUUGCAUUGCUGUUACCAUCAUAUCACCGCAAAGUCUCAAUAAAUCCGGACCAGGUAUACCAACGGAUAAAUUUAUAUUUUUUGCAUUAUAAACAUCCAUCAAUGGUUCACCAUCAUAUUGAUAUCGAAGAAAAUUUGGAAACUUACUUUUGCAUCGGUGGACAUUCCUGUGUACAGACGCCAUCGUCAAAGAAAUUUUUACAAGCAAGACAAUCGCUUUGCUUUGGACCAACACAGCCACCGGCACAAAAUAAAUGACAACAUUCACGUGGAUUUGGACCAAAGCAACGACCCUGCCAACAUUGUGAGAUUAUAAUUGUUAAACAUUCCAACGCUGCCAUUGAGAAUAUCUAAAAAGAAAAUUAAUGGAUUAAAAAGGAAUCAAAAAAAGAAAAAAA